rnacentral:lncRNA from 1 species
AUUAAGAGGCAAAUUCAUUCUGCUACUCCGCUUACCACUGUACUCACUAAUCUUGAGGGGACUACUGAAUUGUAAAUCUUCAGCCUCAGAAAGGGUUCUGUGUCUUUUCCUUUUACUCUUUCUCAGUGCCCCUUAUGCAUAAUCCAAUGGAGUAUUCCAAGGAAAAUAUUUUUAAUGACUGGGGGUUGCCUGCAAUAAGUUGAGCCUGAAAUCUCAUUUUUCAGUUGGAUACCUACUCAUGUCAUGGAUCUGUAGUAUUCUUUUUGCUUACUCCAGCAGUAGGAAAUAAUAUAGGGACAGAACUCAAGAGAGAGAAAAUGAGCAAUAGGGCAAUGAGGCACACUCCCAUUGUCUGGUAGAAAAAAGAUGCAUGAGUCUUCCAUAUGUCAAGUAGAUACUACAAAGGUACCAGGCUUGAACUAUUGUGAAGCAAGUUCAUCCUAGACUGUGACUUACUAAGAGAAGAGACCCCAGCAGCAAAAGCCUGUAAGGUGAGUUAUGCAGGAAAUAAGGAGACUGGAAGAGGUCUACAGGAGUCGAUUUCCUAUGAAAGGAGGUUGUGCAAUGAAGAGACUGCCUGCUACAUGGAGGACAGAGGUCACAACAACAACUGGUAAGCAAAACAUUUCUGCUGACUUUUGAGAAUUCUCUCUUCUUCCUCAACAUAGAAAGGGCUCAGAAAAUGCAAAAGGGAGGGGAAAGAGUUACGAGUAGCCUCCUCUCACUGCCACUGUGUCCUGGGGAGGAGAUGGACAUUUGAAUUGGACAAGAAACUGAAGUGGAUGGCACUGGAUUGCCUCUUUUCCACUCUUUUCCAGCCUAAAAAGUUCACAAAAUUGGCAUUUGCUGGAGAAGCCAUGAAGUCUUGGGAAAGGGAGAUUCGACAGAGCAUGUUACAGCCACAAUAGGAGAAAAAAACCUUCUCAGGUUUGAACCCUGCUGAGUUCACAGUUUUCAAUAAAUUGCUGACAAAUGCAAGGUGUUCAGACAAGUAGGUAGUGCUCCACAAAUAGUAGAUAUUAUUCUAGUCACCUAGAGAGAAUAAAUGUUCAGAAAAUGUCUACGUAUGUUUUGCUAUCAAAGAGCGAAUAAGAUAUUCAAUUUGUAUUUUUGCUUUAGAUAAAGCAUAAUGCCCUUAUUAUGCCUUCAAGUCUUCAUUUCCCCCACGAAGGGACGUUUUUCUGUGUUAUUUGACCAUAUGCCUUUUGCUACGCUGGGCAUUUGCCUUCUUUGACCUUUUCUGGACAUUCCCACUUUACCCGCCAGGGAUUGAGGAGAUUACAAAGGUCAUCUAAUCAUCUAGUCUCGUUUCCAAUUUGGUUAAGAUAAAAUAUUAUUUAAUUACUAGAAAAAUACUUUGUUAUUAAAAUCAAAGUGUCUUGUGCUGGUUUGCAAACAAAGUAAUUUCUACACGCUUAUAACACAAAGAGGAGACCAGAUGUGGUGAAGUAGAAGAGAGAGGACACUGGCUUUGGAGCCAGGGGACCCAGAGCGGCUCCCAGUAAUGUGAUAUUUUAUGUGUUUUCCAACCCCAUGCAGCAUCCAUUGCCUCACCUGUAAAAUAGGGGUUUUGACAAGGACCACAUCGAGUUAUUGUGAAGAGUAAAUAGAUGAUUAUAGAAAACAUGUCACACAGUGCUAGGCACAUAGAUGAAGCUUAAGGAAUAGCUGUUGUCCCGUUUCCAAGGUUGCAGAGUCAGAAGACACCCCUAAGAAGACAUAAAGUACUGUUGUUCAGAAGGAAGGCAUUGGGAAAGUCAAAAGGACACCAGAAAUAGUGAACUCAACAUUGAUUUGCACAUUUGACCAAGGCUGGAGCAGUGGAAAGAGAAC